rnacentral:rRNA from 1 species
AUGGUUGUCGUCAGCUCGUGUCGUGAGAUGUUGGGUUAAGUCCCGCAACGAGCGCAACCCACGUUAGUUGCUAACGCGUGAAGGCGAGCACUCUAGCGAACUGCCGUUGACAAAACGGAGGAAGGUGGGAUGACGUCAAAUCAUCAUGCCCUUAUGUUCUGGGCUACACACGUGCUACAAUGGCCGGUACAGACGGACGCAAAGCCGCGAGGUGGAGCAAAUCCUAAAAAGCCGGUCUCAGUUCGGAUUGCAGGCUGCAAUUCGCCUGCAUGAAGUCGGAAUCGCUAGUAAUCGCAGGUCAGCAUACUGCGGUGAAUACGUUCCCGGGCCUU